GUUGCAAGGUCCAUGACGUAAAUUUUAAUUAAAUUGGAGGAAAUUAAUAAUGCUAGAAAUUUAGCGUGACUCGAAUUCAAAAUCUUUGCAAUUUAUCCAAUUUCUGGAAAGAACAAAUUAAUAAACUAGCAAAAGAAAAUUUGCCUUUUUUUUUUUAAGGUUAAUUUCAUAAAGCUUUCUAUAAACAUAUUGAAUAGCAAAUAUAUUUCUACAAAGUUCAACUUUUCAUUUUUAUUCCUACAAAAGUUCAAUGUUAUUCAUAUUUGUUCCUCUGGUUUAAUUGUUACCGUUUAGAGCACUGUUUAUUUUUUUAACAGAAUAUAAAUGAAAUGAUAAUUUUGGCAUUACAAAUAUGUCCCUCUAAAAGCCCCAACUGCAUAAUUAUAUAGAAAUAUCCUCCUAAAAAUUUUCGAUCGUUAUCUUCUUCAUUUAUACCAUCACAAGUAAUAUAAGAGGGAGAAACUGUCAAUUUACCCAUUCGCCAAUUAGGGUUAAAUAUUUUAUUUAUGUUUAACUAUAUUUUUCUAACAGAUCUUAUCAGCCAGGACAUAUUUGUAAAUGUUAGGACUCUUUCAAGAAUAAAUAUAAAAAGUUGAACUUUGUAGAAAUAUAUUUGUUAUUCGAUAUGUUUAUAGAGAGCUGUAUACAAUCAACCCAUUUUUUUAAAUGUUUUAUUCUAUCCCACC
rnacentral:lncRNA from 1 species